rnacentral:rRNA from 1 species
UAAUACCAGCUCCCCGAGUGGUAGGGACGAUUAUUGGGCUUAAAGCGUCCGUAGCUGGCUUGACAAGUCUUUCGUUAAAUCCAGCGACCUAAUCGUUGGGCUGCGAAAGAUACUAUCUAGCUUGGGGGCGGAAGAGGUCGACGGUACUCUCGGGGUAGGGGUGAAAUCCUAUAAUCCUGAGAAGACCACCAGUGGCGAAGGCGGUCGACUAGAACGCGCUCGACGGUGAUGGACGAAAGCUGGGGUAGCAAACCGGAUUAGAUACCCGGGUAGUCCCAGCCGUAAACGAUGCGGGCUAGGUGUCGGAGUGGAUACGAGCCGCUUCGGUGCCGCAGGGAAACUGUUAAGCCCACCGCCUGGGAAGUACGGUCGCAAGGCUG